ACUUUAUUAGUAUAAAUAGUACAUUUAACUUCCAAUUAAAAAGUUUUUCUAAAAUAAAGU
rnacentral:tRNA from 1 species